AUCAUUUAAAGAGUGCGUAAUAGCUCACUAGUCGAGUGACACUGCGCCGAAAAUGUACCGGGGCUAAACAUAUUACCGAAGCUGUGGAUUGUCCUUUGGACAAUGGUAGGAGAGCGUUCUAAGGGCGUUGAAGCAUGAUCGUAAGGACAUGUGGAGCGCUUAGAAGUGAGAAUGCCGGUGUGAGUAGCGAAAGACGGGUGAGAAUCCCGUCCACCGAUUGACUAAGGUUUCCAGAGGAAGGCUCGUCCGCUCUGGGUUAGUCGGGUCCUAAGCUGAGGCCGACAGGCGUAGGCGAUGGAUAACAGGUUGAUAUUCCUGUACCACCUAUAAUCGUUUUAAUCGAUGGGGGGACGCAGUAGGAUAGGCGAAGCGUGCGAUUGGAUUGCACGUCUAAGCAGUAAGGCUGAGUAUUAGGCAAAUCCGGUACUCGUUAAGGCUGAGCUGUGAUGGGGAGAAGACAUUGUGUCUUCGAGUCGUUGAUUUCACACUGCCGAGAAAAGCCUCUAGAUAGAAAAUAGGUGCCCGUACCGCAAACCGACACAGGUAGUCAAGAUGAGAAUUCUAAGGUGAGCGAGCGAACUCUCGUUAAGGAACUCGGCAAAAUGACCCCGUAACUUCGGGAGAAGGGGUGCUCUUUAGGGUUAACGCCCAGAAGAGCCGCAGUGAAUAGGCCCAAGCGACUGUUUAUCAAAAACACAGGUCUCUGCUAAACCGUAAGGUGAUGUAUAGGGGCUGACGCCUGCCCGGUGCUGGAAGGUUAAGAGGAGUGGUUAGCUUCUGCGAAGCUACGAAUCGAAGCCCCAGUAAACGGCGGCCGUAACUAUAACGGUCCUAAGGUAGCGAAAUUCCUUGUCGGGUAAGUUCCGACCCGCACGAAAGGCGUAACGAUUUGGGCACUGUCUCAA
rnacentral:rRNA from 1 species